CUGGAAAGAUGAAUCAAAGAAGGUAAUAAUCCUGUAGUCGAAAAUGUUGUCUCUCUUGAGUGGAUCCUGAGUACGACGGAGCACGUGAAAUUCCGUCGGAAUCUGGGAGGACCAUCUCCUAAGGCUAAAUACUCUCUAGUGACCGAUAGUGAACCAGUACCGUGAGGGAAAGGUGAAAAGCACCCCGGAAGGGGAGUGAAAUAGAACCUGAAACCGUGUGCUUACAAGUAGUCAGAGCCCGUUAAUGGGUGAUGGCGUGCCUUUUGUAGAAUGAACCGGCGAGUUACGAUUUGAUGCAAGGUUAAGCAGUAAAUGUGGAGCCGUAGCGAAAGCGAGUCUGAAUAGGGCGUUUAGUAUUUGGUCGUAGACCCGAAACCAGGUGAUCUACCCUUGGUCAGGUUGAAGUUCAGGUAACACUGAAUGGAGGACCGAACCGACUUACGUUGAAAAGUGAGCGGAUGAACUGAGGGUAGCGGAGAAAUUCCAAUCGAACCUGGAGAUAGCUGGUUCUCUCCGAAAUAGCUUUAGGGCUAGCCUCAAGUGAUGAUUAUUGGAGGUAGAGCACUGUUUGGACGAGGGGCCCCUCUCGGGUUACCGAAUUCAGACAAACUCCGAAUGCCAAUUAAUUUAACUUGGGAGUCAGAACAUGGGUGAUAAGGUCCGUGUUCGAAAGGGAAACAGCCCAGACCACCAGCUAAGGUCCCAAAAUAUAUGUUAAGUGGAAAAGGAUGUGGCGUUGCCCAGACAACUAGGAUGUUGGCUUAGAAGCAGCCAUCAUUUAAAGAGUGCGUAAUAGCUCACUAGUCGAGUGACACUGCGCCGAAAAUGUACCGGGGCUAAACAUAUUACCGAAGCUGUGGAUUGUCCUUUGGACAAUGGUAGGAGAGCGUUCUAAGGGCGUUGAAGCAUGAUCGUAAGGACAUGUGGAGCGCUUAGAAGUGAGAAUGCCGGUGUGAGUAGCGAAAGACGGGUGAGAAUCCCGUCCACCGAUUGACUAAGGUUUCCAGAGGAAGGCUC
rnacentral:rRNA from 1 species